rnacentral:rRNA from 1 species
UACGUAGGGUGCGAGCGUUGUCCGGAGUUAUUGGGCGUAAAGAGCUUGUAGGCGGUUUGUCGCGUCUGCUGUGAAAAUCCGGGGCUCAACCCCGGACUUGCAGUGGGUACGGGCAGACUAGAGUGUGGUAGGGGAGACUGGAAUUCCUGGUGUAGCGGUGAAAUGCGCAGAUAUCAGGAGGAACACCGAUGGCGAAGGCAGGUCUCUGGGCCACUACUGACGCUGAGAAGCGAAAGCGUGGGGAGCGAACAGG